rfam:Triticum aestivum genome assembly, contig: Triticum_aestivum_CS42_TGACv1_scaffold_500166_6BL
AAAGUACUCCCUCCGUCCGGAAAUACUUAUCAUCAAGAUGUAUAAAAAUGGGUGUAUCUAGAUUAUUCUAGAUACGUCCCAUUUUUAUCCAUCUUGAUGACAAGUAUUUCCGGACGGAGGGAGUAGUAA